AUUGAACGCUGGCGGCAUGCUUUACACAUGCAAGUCGAACGGCAGCACGGGGGCAACCCUGGUGGCGAGUGGCGAACGGGUGAGUAACACAUCGGAACGUGCCCAGUUGUGGGGGAUAACCUAUCGAAGGUAGGCUAAUACCGCAUGAGCUCGGCAAGAGGAAAGCGGGGGACUCAGCGAUGGGCCUCGCGCGACUGGAGCGGCCGAUGUCCGAUUAGCAGUUGGUGGGGUAAGGCUUACCAAGGCGACGAUCGGUAGCUGGUCUGAGAGGAUGAUCAGCCACACUGGGACU
rnacentral:rRNA from 1 species